rnacentral:rRNA from 1 species
UACGUAGGGGGCAAGCGUUGUCCGGAUUUAUUGGGCGUAAAGCGCACGUAGGCGGCUUUUUAAGUCAGGGGUGAAAUCCUGGAGCUCAACUCCAGAACUGCCUUUGAUACUGGGAAGCUCGAGUCCGGGAGAGGUGAGUGGAACUCCGAGUGUAGAGGUGAAAUUCGUAGAUAUUCGGAAGAACACCAGUGGCGAAGGCGGCUCACUGGCCCGGUACUGACGCUGAGGUGCGAAAGCGUGGGGAGCAAACAGG